rnacentral:rRNA from 1 species
UACGUAGGAUCCGAGCGUUGUCCGGAUUUACUGGGUGUAAAGGGCGUGUAGGUGGAUCGGCAAGUCGAUGGUGAAAUCCUGCGGCUUAACCGCAGAAUUGCCUUCGAAACUACCGAUCUUGAGUGCGGCAGAGGGAGACGGAAUUCAUGGUGUAGCGGUGAAAUGUGUAGAUAUCAUGAAGAACACCGGUUGCGAAGGCGGUCUCCUGGUCCGUUACUGACACUGAGGCGCGAAAGCGUGGGGAGCAAACAGG